UCCCAAAACCCAGCUGAUAAAUGGUAGGUGCUUCUCUUAUAUGGAGAAAGAAUUCUAAACAGGUGAGGGGGAUGCAGCCAACACAUUCCUCACUCUCAUUCCUUAUUAAUCCUUUAAAGACUCACCUGUUUAUCAAAAUCCUUUUUAUCCGUUUUUAGUUUACUCAUGUAAAGCAGCCUACCUGUCCUUUGGUUUCGUUUAUUGCGAUAUGAAUUUGGUUUUUCUUUUUUACCAAGUAGCAUAAUGCCUAUUUUAUUAAUUAUUGCUUCAUUAAUAUGAAGAAAAACUAAUGCUUUUAAUAUGAGAAGUGGAAAAGGUAGGAAAUGGAACCAGAAUAUGAUUUCAGGUCUCACACACAGAGAUAUCCAGUCCAUUUGUUCUCUUUCUUUAUUAAAUCACAAAUGCCUAAUAAGCAUUUGUGAUUUCUAGAAAAUCAGAAAAGUUCCAGCAACUGUGAAACGCUUUCUAGAUAAUUGCCUUUUCUUAAAUUUUCUACAAGAAAGUACUUUAACAUUCACUAGCUUGUGGCUUUGCCAAGUUACUUAACUCCUGAUUCUGUCUUCUCAUCUGUAAAAUGUGGAUAAUAUAUCCUGGCAGAGUGUGGGAGGAGGGGGAUUGAUUGGAGAUUAUAUUUGUAAGGUGCCUGGACCAUAGAACAUAGUAGAUGUUCAAUAAGAAGUGGCAGCAAUCAUGUUUCGUUGCUUUUCUAUAUUUAAAAAGUAGCAGGAUCAACUAGCUGGUUGCCUAGAGAAAAUAUGAAUACAGCUCCCUGCAGAUCACAGUCGUGUGCCCAGUAACACCCCAAACGACAUCCAGGACUGCUUAAAACUUUUAAGGAAGGGAAAGUUUUUUAAUUUACUUGAGAAACAAGUCAAGUGCUUGCCUGAUGCAUCAGGCACAUGCAUUAUCUAGCGUAAAUAAAGGGCUUAUGUGAAAUGGACCUAUGUAAGGUCCCCUUUUAUCUUUGAGAGGGCCUGAAAGAUGGGGCUGGAUGGCUACUGGGGCCCUGAUGGGAAGAAGCUCUGCCCUCUCAAAGCAGCAGGGCCCUGAGAAAGCCACAGAGUUCUCUCUGUGCUUAUGCCCCGCAUUCUCUUUCAGAAGAUGUGUAAGUGCUGCCUAUGUCGGGGUGCUGGUGGCAGAGGGGAGAAUAGUGAAUAAGACAGCCCAUCCCUGCCCUCAAGGAGGAUGCCAGGCUCUGAGCCAAUUACCAGGAUGGUGAGUGUAGGGUGGUAGGGUGCCAUAUGGUAGCAGUGGACCUGACUUAGCCAGAAGACCAGGGAGGCUUCCUGGAGGCAGUGACGCUUCAGCUGAGCCCAGCAUUCUCAUAGACUCAGGAGGGAAAAGGCACAUCAAAGCUGAAAAACUAAAGAAUUCCAAAAAGGCUGGGCAUGGGAGCUUAGGGGCCAGGAGUGAAGACACAGAAAGGAGCCAGACCACGGAGAUUUCUAUAGGACGGGGGAGAAGGAAAAAAAUCUUUCCUCUGCCCAUCUUAGGUUCUCUGCCUGGGGCCAUAUAAAUUAGACUAACAAAAGACAGAUUACCAAGAGAAAAACAGAAGUUCAUUAAAAUGCACAUCACACACAUGGGAGCACCCAGUGAUGAGUAACUCAAAGGGGUGGUUAGAACUUGGGCUUAUUAUAGCAUCUUAACAAAAGAACAAUACAUUUUUAGAGAAGGGAUCAGACAAAGGAAAAGGACUUGGAUAUCCAGGGUGGCAAAGUAUGCGAAGGUGGCUUUGCAUUUCAAAAGCGGCCUCACGGGACCAUAGGGCCUUAAUCCGAAAAAUGACUACGUGGCAAAAUUUUGGGCAGAGAGGUCCCUAAAGUGGCUCAGGGGUCUCCUGCGACCCUCUCCCCAGCAGGACACAUGCAUCCUCAAGGCAGCCGUGAGAGCAGAUGUACCCUGGCCUAGGGCUCCAGCCGUUUCCCAUCACCCCUAACUCGGACACUUGCCUGCAGUGCGGCUGCCUCUGGAGCACCCCAAGUCCCUGUGA